rnacentral:rRNA from 1 species
CCCUUAGAUGUUCUGGGCCGCACGCGUGCUACACUGAGUGGAUCAGCGGGUCAGGUUGCGCGAAAGUGUUUCCUAAUCUUUAAAUCCGCUCGUGAUGGGGAUUGACGGUUGCAAUUUUCCGUCAUGAACGAGGAAUACCUUGUAAGCGCGGGUCAUCAUCCCGCGCUGAAUACGUCCCUGCCCUUUGUUCACACCGCCCGUCGCUCCUACCGAUUGAGUGGUCCGGUGAGGCUUUGGGAUCUGAGCGGAAAGAGCGUUUCGCUGUUUCUGCCCGGAAAACUCAGUCGAACCUUAUCAUUUAGAGGAAGGAGAAGUCGUAACA